rnacentral:rRNA from 1 species
AUGAGGUUAUCGUGCUCACCUUCAAGGAUUGCGCACAUGAUCGACAGAUUAGAUCCCGACCACCAAAAGGCCAUCUGCACUAAAACUGGUCUUGGAGGGCUAACGCAAAUGAAGUCAGUGCUUCUCCGACGUAUUACGUUGGUGCUGCUAGCCAAGACCUACAUAAGAAAAAAGCAGAGUAUUCACAUUGCUGGUAAGGACAUUCCUAUAACUCCAACAGAUGUGUAUGAAUUAAUGGACCUUCCGAUAGAGUGGGAAGAUAUAUAUAUAUAUAUAUGGAAAUCGGAAAACCAAUAG